CCGUAAACGUUGGGCACUAGGUGUGGGGGACAUUCCACGUUCUCCGCGCCGUAGCUAACGCAUUAAGUGCCCCGCUUGGGGGAGUACGGCCGCAAGGUUAAAACUCAAAGGAAUUGACGGGGGCCCGCACAAGCGGCGGAGCAUGCGGAUUAAUUCGAUGCAACGCGAAGAACCUUACCAAGGCUUGACAUUCACCGGACCGCCCCAGAGAUGGGGUUUCCCUUCGGGGUCGGUGGACAGGUGGUGCAUGGUUGUCGUCAGCUCGUGUCGUGAGAUGUUGGGUUAAGUCCCGCAACGAGCGCAACCCUCGUUCUAUGUUGCCAGCACGUGAUGGUGGGGACUCAUAGGAGACUGCCGGGGUCAACUCGGAGGAAGGUGGGGAUGACGUCAAAUCAUCAUGCCCCUUAUGUCUUGGGCUUCACGCAUGCUACAAUGGCCGGUACAAAGGGUUGCGAUACUGUGAGGUGGAGGUAAUCCCAAAAAGCCGGUCUCAGUUCGGAUUGAGGUCUGCAACUCGACCUCAUGAAGUGGGAGUCGAUAGUAAUCGCAGAUCAGCAACGAUGCGGUGAAUACGUUCCCGGGCCUUGUACACACCGCCCGUCAAGUCACGAAAGUUGGUAACACCCGAAGCCGGUGGCCUAACCCCUUUGUGGGAGGAGCCUCGAAUGUGAUUUCCG
rnacentral:rRNA from 1 species